rnacentral:lncRNA from 1 species
AACGCCAAAGAUGGAUAGGUUUUGAUAAAAGAAAUGUUUGAAAUUUGAUUUUAAAAAUAUUCCUUAUCUAGAUAAGAUUGGAUCUCAUCCCAACCACCUACACGCCAUGCCUUCUAUUCUCUUUAUUUUGUGCGACAAAAGAGAGGAACUCAUCAUGAAAAAUCAGAUUGGGAUCUAAUUUAAUGUGAGGUGUUGGCAUGAAAAAUUAUUUCUCAAUACAAACAUCUUAAAAAUAGUGGGGCGUACGGUCUUAUGGUGACAACUCAAGAGUCCAAUCUCUCUUGGACUCUUCAAACCCUAUCCACUUGAAUGCCCAAAUAAAAAAGGUUCUUUUCUUUUGUGCAUACAAGAUAGAGAUCAAAAAGAGGUCUUCACGGUGGAGGGUGGAGGUGUGACAUCUUGACGUGAAAGAAAGAGGAGAGUCCUUUCCUCUUUGGGUGAGCAAAACAUAAAAAUCCUAAGACUUAUUCUUAAGGGUUUGGGAAGAGAGAAAAAGAAGAGAGAAGAACGUCUCCUCUCCAUACUUCUUCCUCAUCCUCAUCUCCUCCAGAUGUCCUUUUUCAACAUACCUUUAGAAAGGUUCGAGAGAUUUGAAGAAACGAUCCAGAUCAGCCAACAAGAUUCGAAUGGACUAUUCGUAGGGGCCAGACACAUGUGCGGCUACGAGCAACCAGCGAGGACCCUCUUUACCAUGUUCAUCAGCAGUGACGAUCAUCGAUCUGCACUCAGGUAUAGAGUUUUGAACUCAGAUUAGAAGUACAUUUGAUCUACUGCUCACAUUUAUGCAUGCAAAUUUUAUCUUCUAAUUUUUUUUUAGAUUUUAUAUAUAUCAUAUCAUGUCAUAGAUUCUAGAGUAGAUUGAUUUAUUAAUCUGAUCAUAUGCAUGUUAGAUUAAUAUGAUUAAUUUAG